rnacentral:lncRNA from 1 species
AAAGAAUUCAUAAAGUAAAGAUUAGACAUUACAAAGAAUUAUGAGAGUUUGAUCUUCAAUGGUUGCUACCCUUGAAUCUCGCCGUCUUCAAAUCCGUCGUAUUCACUAUCUUCUACAAUGCAAUGCUUUCGUUCGUCUGUAAAAAGUUCCCUUCUUAUUUCUCUUCAAAGCCUUCUUAUAGCUUCAUAUGACUCUCCUCAAAGCUAAAGGUCCAAACUACCCUUAAU